rnacentral:rRNA from 1 species
UACGUAGGCAGCGAGCGUUGUUCGGAGUUACUGGGCGUAAAGAGUGCGUAGGCGGUUUUCUAAGUUUGGUGUGAAAUCUCCCGGCUUAACUGGGAGGGUGCGCCGAAGACUGGAAGGCUUGAGUAUGGGAGAGGUAAGCGGAAUUCCUGGUGUAGCGGUGUAAUGCGUAGAUAUCAGGAGGAACACCUGCGGUGUAGACGGCUUACUGGACCAUCACUGACGCUGAGGCACGAAAGCGUGGGUAGCAAACAGG